rnacentral:tRNA from 1 species
UUUUUGAGAGCUAGAUAUUUAGCAAUAAACUUUUAAUUUAUUUAUAUAGAAUUUUCUAUUC